GACGAACGCUGGCGGCGCGCUUAACACAUGCAAGUCGUGCGGUACCGAUGGCAAGUCUUCUUGACGAGCCUUCGGUAUAGCGGCGGACGGGUGAGUAACACGUGAGUAGCUGUCCUAGGGGAGGGGGAUAACGCCUGGAAACGGGUGCUAAAACCCCAUAAGCCUCGAAAGAGGUAAAAGUGCAUCACUGCAGUCCUAGGGUGUGCUCGCGGCCUAUCAGCUAGUUGGUGAGGUAAGGGCUCACCAAGGCCAAGGACGGGUAGCCGGCCUGAGAGGGUGUACGGCCACACUGGAAUUGGGAUACGGUCCAGACUCCUACGGGAGGCAGCAGUGGGGAAUUUUGGACAAUGGGCGCAAGCCUGAUCCAGCCAUGCCGCGUGCAGGAUGAAGGCCUUCGGGUUGUAAACUGCUUUUGUACGGAACGAAAAAGCUCUCUCUAAUACAGGGGGUGAAUGACGGUACCGUAAGAAUAAGCACCGGCUAACUACGUG
rnacentral:rRNA from 1 species